AAAAUGAACAACAAAUCCACUAAUGAAACUCAGAAUCUCUUUCUUAAGAAAGAGAUUCUGAGUUUCAUUAGUGGAUUUGUUGUUCAUUUU
rnacentral:miRNA from 1 species